UAGUGACAGAGGGAAGGAAAGGGUGACUAGUGACAGAGGGAGGGGGUGACACAGUGAGGGAGGUGGUGACUAGUGACAGAGUGAGGGAGGUGGUGACUGUCACUAGUCACUAGUCACCACCUCCCUCCCUCUGUCCCUAGUCACCCCUCCCUCUGUCACUAGUCACCCCCUUCCUCACUCUGUCACU